rnacentral:rRNA from 1 species
UUGAAAGGGAAACGAUUGAAGUCAGUCGUACCGGUGGGUAAUCAGCCUUUCGGCGUGAUUAUGUGGAGCGUGAGGAGUUAAACGCCCUCAUGCCUGCAUAUUCGUGUUCUUUGGGUGUACUUACCCGCAAGGUAGGUUAACAUCAAUUUCGAACGUCAUAAAAUGGUUGGAGGAAUGUAGCUUCGAUCUCGUAUUGAAGUGUUAUAGCCUUCGGCAGAUGUGAUGAUCGGGAUUGAGGAUUGCAACGGAUACCCCUCGGGCUACCCGUCUGAUCUCUGAAAGUUACUCUGGUGCCGAAAGCUCGCUUACGGUCAUCAAAGUUGACGUUCAACAGGUUAGAACGGGAUAAAUUCGUUAAGGAUGUUGACGUA